rnacentral:rRNA from 1 species
AGUGAACGCUGGCGGUAGGCCUAACACAUGCAAGUCGAACGGCAGCACAGGAGAGCUUGCUCUCUGGGUGGCGAGUGGCGGACGGGUGAGGAAUACAUCGGAAUCUACUUUUUCGUGGGGGAUAACGUAGGGAAACUUACGCUAAUACCGCAUACGACCCACGGGUGAAAGCAGGGGAUCUUCGGACCUUGCGCGAUUGAAUGAGCCGAUGUCGGAUUAGCUAGUUGGCGGGGUAAAGGCCCACCAAGGCGACGAUCCGUAGCUGGUCUGAGAGGAUGCUCAGCCACACUGGAACUGAGACACGGUCCAGACUCCUACGGGAGGCAGCAGUGGGGAAUAUUGGACAAUGGGCGCAAGCCUGAUCCAGCCAUACCGCGUGGGUGAAGAAGGCCUUCGGGUUGUAAAGCCCUUUUGUUGGGGAAGAAAUCCAGCUGGUUAAUACCCGGUUGGGAUGACGGUACCCAAAGAAUAAGCACCGGCUAACUUCGUGCCAGCCGCCGCGGUAA